rnacentral:lncRNA from 1 species
GGUUUGGCUGUGUCCCCAUCCAAAUCUCAUCUUGAAUUCCCACGUGUUGUUAAAUCCAUCAUGGGCUGGGUUUUGACACUGUUCACCCGAGCCUAGCAACUAGAGAUUCCAAGAGAUGAAAGAUCAGGGAGGAAGGACCACACCUCUCUGCCAGAGGCCUGGAGGGGAAGCUCCUGGUGACAGAGGCUGGAUUCCAAAGUGUCUCUUCUUUGACGUUGGUACCAGUCCCACUCGUGUUUUGCAUGAGAUUUGCCCCCAGACCCUGUGGA